rnacentral:lncRNA from 1 species
UUCAGUUCUUUACUCUUUUAUCUCCUUCUUCAAAGACGUUAAGGAACCCUAGCGCCGCCCUUAAAUCUCUAACGUUUUCCGGUGGCGGCGGCGCCUCCGAUCAACCCCAAAUUUACACCCCAAGUUCCUCACAACCUCCAUUUUCCCAAUCCCUAACAAGUUUCCCUCGAAUCCUUUGGCAUCUACACAAUUAGAAACUCUAAACCCCAAAAUCAACUUCCAUGGAAUCUGUAGCAUGCAAGGCUAAGGGGGUCGAUUAUGCACGAAGCUGAUGUUGUCCAUUUGUUCUUGACAAGAACACAUGGUUGACAUCAACUUUGGGCUCAAAUAAAGCAAGCCAGAGUCACGAUGAAUCAACUUAAGUAUUUUAUUCUUUUGUUCUUCCUUCUACGGUCUCAUCUUUCUAUUCUCUUUCUCUUUCUUCUACUUCUCUUUAGGUAGUUUCUUCUGUGUAAAAUAUAGCAAAGGUCCAAAUCUGAACCUAAGUUUUCCCUUAGGAUUGAUUUUGUGUUUGUUCCGCUUGCUUUUCAGUUUUCUUUUAAAACUCCAAAAAGUUGUUCAUUGAUUUCGUUUGGUUUAUUCCUCUACAUGUUUAUUUGUUAUUCAUGGCAUUGGAGUUUUCUGAUUUUUGUCCUUCAUAUUAUAGUCGUAAGUUAGUUUAAUUAGAUGUUAUUUUAUUUGGUCAUCUAGCUUAAUUUUAGUUUAUUUACAUUAGCUUAAAAAUUAGUCAAGCCUUUAGUUUUGAAAGCAUUCAGGUGUUUCUUCUUCUGUUUGAAUAAUUGAUUUUUGCUAGGGUUUUGGGGUCAUUUCUGAAUCAUUUUUAAGGGGUAGCCCAUUCAAUUUGAUUUAAGUCUUGGGUCAGAAUUGAUCCAUGUGGUAUGUUGGAGUAGUUGACUGGGUUUUAAGGAUAGUCUAGGGAUUUUUAGUUUAGGGAAUCUUGACUAACUGGCUUAAGAAGCUGCUAAGAAGGUGAGUUUGGAACUUUGUUAAAAAAUAAAUUUUGAAAUAAGGACUAAAUAGCAAAAGAAAAUUAAAAAAGGAUUUUGGAUUUGGACUUUAGGUUUGGUCAUUUGCACUUUUAUUAUCAUAUAUCUGAUUCUCAAUCUUUUGUAAUAUAGACAUAACUUAGAUGAAUAACAUUUAAAGUUGUAUAGUGAUAUUAGGUCAUAGGUCG